rnacentral:rRNA from 1 species
UCCCCCCUUUUCGGCUGCCCGGUUUUUGGGGGGGGGGUUUUUUUUUUUAAAAUUUUUCCCCUCGCUCAGGAUGAACGCUGGCGGCGUGCUUAACACAUGCAAGUCGAACGAUGACCCCGGUGCUUGCAUCGGUGAUUAGUGGCGAACGGGUGAGUAACACGUGAGUAACCUGCCCUUAACUCUGGGAUAAGCCUGGGAAACUGGGUCUAAUACCGGAUAUGACUCCUCAUCGCAUGGUGGGGGGUGGAAAGCUUUUUUGUGGUUUUGGAUGGACUCGCGGCCUAUCAGCUUGUUGGUGAGGUAAUGGCUUACCAAGGCGACGACGGGUAGCCGGCCUGAGAGGGUGACCGGCCACACUGGGACUGAGACACGGCCCAGACUCCUACGGGAGGCAGCAGUGGGGAAUAUUGCACAAUGGGCGGAAGCCUGAUGCAGCGACGCCGCGUGAGGGAUGACGGCCUUCGGGUUGUAAACCUCUUUCAGUAGGGAAGAAGCGUAAGUGACGGUACCUGCAGAAGAAGCGCCGGCUAACUACGUGCCAGCAGCCGCGGUAAUACGUAGGGCGCAAGCGUUAUCCGGAAUUAUUGGGCGUAAAGAGCUCGUAGGCGGUUUGUCGCGUCUGCCGUGAAAGUCCGGGGCUCAACUCCGGAUCUGCGGUGGGUACGGGCAGACUAGAGUGAUGUAGGGGAGACUGGAAUUCCUGGUGUAGCGGUGAAAUGCGCAGAUAUCAGGAGGAACACCGAUGGCGAAGGCAGGUCUCUGGGCAUUAACUGACGCUGAGGAGCGAAAGCAUGGGGAGCGAACAGGAUUAGAUACCCUGGUAGUCCAUGCCGUAAACGUUGGGCACUAGGUGUGGGGGACAUUCCACGUUUUCCGCGCCGUAGCUAACGCAUUAAGUGCCCCGCUGGAGACCCGACCCC